AAAACCUUAAUAUUCUUCUUGCUCAUGCAUAUUUCCAGAAUUCAUUGCAUAAUACAUUAAAUCUGAUGAUUUUUGAAAUAUAUUAAUUAGAAAUCAACAACAACAAAAAUCAGACAUCAAAUUGCGAUGCCGCGAAGAAUUAUAGCAACAUAAACAGCAUCAGAAACGUCAUCAACGAAGAGCUCAUGACGCAUGUGAUAGAUCAAAAUCGACGAUUCAAGGACGAUGAUGAAGAAGAAGACAACGAUGCCGCAAGUCUCGUCGAACAUGAAGUAAGUGGGCUCCCUUCGCUGGCUCGUUUCUGCGCCGAUCGGCCACUAGGCCGUGAGCCGUCAACACGUAGCCGUUCCUUCAUUUUCAGGCUACCACUAUCAUAAAUCGAAAAGCCGAAAUACUAUCUCCAUCUCCCCAAUCAACGACCGCAACAUCAUUUGGCAACCAACGUCGUAUUCCUGAUGUAGCAACCAAUCGAUUUAUGACCUCUGUUUUUCUCUCUCUCCCUACUGUAACGGAGAGCCGAGAAACCACCAUCGUGUAGUCUAUUCUUCCACGCACACAAACGGCUAAGCCAAGAGACUCCAUGGCCGAACACCAUCGCGAAACGACGACCGGAAAACCACUCGGCGAGCAACAUAAUAAUCUGCAACGAACUUAUUGAUUCAGUUUAUUGAACGUUGUAUCAUAAAAUAAUAAUACUAAGGGCUGAUUGUUUUAUAUUGCAAUCUCGUGGAACCUGGUUCAUAUUUUGUUGAACUUAUCCAUUACUGUAAUGAACUUUAAUGUGUUC